CGGUACCGGGCGGGGCCCGCCAUUGCCGGGGGCGUGGCAGCAGCCGCGGUGGCUGCCGGGUUGCGCGGGACGGUCAGCGGCGAGCGGAGGGUUUAUCACGUUCGUGCUUCUGACUUUGGAAGAGAAGUUCUGCAGAAAUGUCAAAGAUUGAGAAAAUGAGUAUCCUCGGAGUGAGGAGUUUUGGGAUAGAGGAUAAAGACAAGCAAAUUAUCACUUUUUUUAGUCCAUUAACUAUUUUGGUGGGACCAAAUGGUGCAGGAAAAACGACUAUCAUUGAAUGUCUUAAAUACAUAUCCACUGGAGAUUUUCCUCCUGGAACCAAAGGAAACUCGUUUGUUCACGAUCCAAAGGUUGCCAAUGAAACAGAUGUUAGAGCUCAGAUUCGAUUGCAGUUCCGGGAUGUAAACGGAGAGCUCGUAGCCGUCCAGCGGUCCAUGGUCUGCACCCAGAAAGGCAAGAAAACAGAAUUUAAAACACUCGAAGGUGUCAUUACUAGAACAAAGCAUGGCGAGAAGGUCAGCCUGAGUUCCAAGUGCGCAGAAAUCGAUCGAGAGAUGAUCAGCGCCCUUGGUGUUUCCAAAUCCGUGAUUAACAACGUCAUUUUCUGCCACCAAGAAGAAUCCAACUGGCCGUUAAGUGAAGGGAAAGCCCUGAAACAGAAAUUUGAUGAGAUCUUUUCAGCAACAAGGUAUAUUAAAGCACUCGAAACUCUCCGUCAGGUACGACUGAAACAAAGCUCGAAGGUGAAAGAGUGUCAGGCAGAAUUGAAAUAUCUAAAACAGAAUAAAGAAAAAGCACAGGAAAUCCAGGAUCAUCUCAGCAAUAGAGAGGCUCAACUGGCUGCUUCUAAGGACAAUGUAAAAUCCAUCGAGAAUCAACUUGAUCCUCUAAAGACUUCUCUGGCGGCAGUAGAGCAGAAUCUCAUGAAAGUCAUGAGGCUGGACAACGAUGUAAAAGCCCUGGAGAGCAGGAAGAAGCAGAUGGAGAAAGACAAUCAAGAUUUGCAACAGAAGAUGGAAAAGGUUUUUCAAGGACCAGAUGAACAACUAAUAGAUAGAUACCAGAACCACCAGAAAACAGUGAAGGAGAAGGAGAAGAGAUUGUUGGACUGUAAGCGUGACUUUGAUAGAGCCACUAAAGAAUGCCAGAGAUUUAACAGUGAGAAAUCAGAACUACUUAUUGAACGAGGUCGUCUUCAAAUGCAAGCGGAUCGUCACCAGGAGCACAUCUCAAUGAGGGACUCGUUAAUUCAGUCUUUGGCAGCACAGCUGGAAUUAGAGGGUUUUGGACGAGCACCUUUUGAUGAAAGGCACAUCAGCAGUUUUCACACAUUGUUGAAGGAGAGACAGAAAAGAGACGCAGAAACUGCAAAUAAUUUAAUGAGAGAAUUUGCACGAAAAGAAGCAAUGAAACAAAAACAGAUAGAUGAAAUAAGAGACAAGAAAACUGGAUUAGAAAGAACCAUUGACCUAAAAUCAGACAUUCAGAAUAAGAAACAAGUGGAGCUGAAGAAUGUAAAACAUGAACUGCAGCAGCUGGAGGGGUUUUCAGACCGAAUUCUGGAGCUGGAGCAAGAGAUUGUCAAGACAGAGCACGAGCUGGAGAAGGCUGAGAGGAACAGCAACAUAGAAACACUGGAACUGGAAGUACAAACUCUGCAAAAUGAGAAGAUAAACCUGGACAGAGCUCUUCGGAAGCUGGAUCAAGAGAUGGAACAGUUGAAUCUACACACCAUGACAAUUACCCAGAUGGAAAUGCUGAAGAAAGACAAAGCAGAGAAAGAAGAGCAGAUUAGAAGAGUGAAAUCGAGACAUUCUGAGGAACUGACAUCGCUGCUGGGAUACUUUCCAAAUAAAAACCAACUUGAAGACUGGCUUUAUAAUAAAAGUAGAAAGAUUAAUCAGACAAGGAGUAAUCUUGCUGUCCUUAACAAACGACUGGCAUCAGUAGAGUGUGAUAGAACUCACUUCAGUAAUGAGCUAAAAAAAAAAGAAGCAGAGUUGUCCCUUCAAGAGGCAAAGAUUCUUGAUGUUUGUGGAAGCCAAGAUUUUGACAGUGAUCUGAACAAACUGCAAGAUGAAAUUGAAAAAAGUUCAAAACAGCGAGCUGUGCUUGCUGGAGCCACUGCGGUGUACUCCCAGUUCAUUACGCAACUGACGGAGGAGAACCAGUCGUGUUGUCCAGUUUGUCAAAGGGUUUUUCAAACAGAGGCUGAACUGCAAGAGGUGAUCAGUGACCUGCAGUCCAAGCUGCGUCUUGCUCCAGACAAACUGAAGUCUACAGAGACCGAGCUUAAGAGAAAAGAGAAAAGACGUGAUGAAAUGAUGAGUCUUAAACCCCUCAGGCGAACUGUAGUUGAUCUCCAAGAAAAAGACAUCCCAGACUUGAGAAACAGGAUACAGAACGCGAACAGGGAUUUAACAAGCCUGAAGGCUGAGAUAGAGGAACAGGAGUCGCUCUUGCAGACAGCUCUGUCUGAGGAGGACGGUGCCAAGGCGUGUUUACAGGAUGUAACGCUGAUGGAAAGGCACCAGACUGACAUUAGGGAUGUUGAACGAAAAAUUGCUCAGCAGGAGGCUAAGCUGCUAGGGGUGGAUUUAAGUAGAACUGUUCUACAAGUAAGCCAUGAAAAACAAGAGAAGAAACACUUGUGGGAUACAGUUACUGGUAAAAUUGAGUUAAAUCAAAAACUCAAGCAAGACCAGCAAAAUCAGAUUCAGCAGCUGAAGAGUACCAUGAAUGAGCUUAAAGGGGAGAAACUCCAGCUGGCCAGCGGCAUGCAGCGUCGGCGCCAGCUGGAGGAACAGACAGUGGAAUUAACCACCGAGGUUCAGUCCUUGUGCAGGGAGAUCAAGGAAGCAAAAGAACAAGUGUUUCCUUUGGAUACAACUUUAGACAAACUGCAGCAGGAGAAGGAGGAUCUAGUCAAUAAAAGGACUGCAAGUAAUAAAGAAAUGCAAGAGAAGAUAAAUAGCAUAGAAGAGAAAGUUAAGGAUAUAAACAAGUACAUGAAAGAAAUCGAAAACUAUAUUCAGCAAGGAAAAGCCGAGUAUAAAAAGCAAAAGGAGGCUGAACUUGAUGAAGUAAAUUGUCAGCUAGCUGCCUGUGAGAAACAGAAGGACAAGAUAAGUAAAGAGAUGGAAGUGAUUCGACAAGAUAUUGACACUCAAAAGGUACAGGAGAGGUGGUUAGAGGAUAAUCUUACUUUGAGGCGACGGAAUGAAGACCUAAAAGAAGUUGAAGACAAUAUAAAAAGACUUUUGAAGGAGAUGGGAGAAAUGAAAGUCCCGCAGUUGAAAACUGAGCAGAAACAUUUGGAGGAGAAAAUAGAAUCCCUGAAAAGAAACCAUCAUGUGGCACUUGGCCGACAGCGUGGGUUUGAGGAAGAGAUUGUUCGCUUUAAAAAGGAACUUCGAGAGCCACAGUUCAAAGAUGCGGAGGAAAAAUACAGGGAGAUGAUGAUUAUCAUGAGGACAACAGAGCUGGCAAACAAAGAUCUGGAUCUUUAUUACAAGGCUCUUGAUAAAGCAAUAAUGACGUUUCAUAGCAUGAAGAUGGAAGAAAUCAACAAAAUAAUUCGUGACCUUUGGCGAAGUACCUACAGGGGACAAGAUAUUGAAUAUAUAGAAAUUCGUUCUGAUGCAGAUGAGAAUGUCUCAGCCUCUGAUAAAAGAAGAAGUUACAAUUACAGAGUGGUGAUGAUAAAGGGAGAUACGGCACUGGAUAUGCGAGGGAGGUGUAGUGCUGGGCAAAAGGUGCUUGCUUCUCUCAUUAUUCGUCUUGCUCUGGCAGAAACGUUCUGUCUCAACUGUGGCAUAUUGGCGCUGGAUGAGCCCACAACCAACCUUGAUCGAGAAAACAUAGAGUCUCUUGCACAUGCCCUGGUGGAGAUUAUAAAGAGCCGCUCACAACAGCGUAACUUCCAGCUUCUGGUGAUAACUCAUGAUGAAGAUUUUGUUGAACUUCUGGGCCGUUCUGAAUAUGUGGAAACGUUCUACAGGAUAAAGAAGAACAUCGACCAGUGCUCUGAGAUCAUCAAAUGCAGUGUCAGCUCCCUGGGCUCAUAUGUUCAUUAAAAUACCUAGUAAUUACGUGUUAUAGACUGCCUUGGCUGCCAAACUUCAAAUGAAGGCAUCUGAAAAUCUAGUUCCUUCAUAUCAUAUACUACUGAAGUGUCACUUACCUCUCCUGCUUUAUGAUGGUGACAAUUACGAGAGUUAUGUCAUAUUCGGAUUCUCCAUGAGGUGCAGUCAAGUUCUGUGAAAAAGAUACAAAAAUGCCUGAAAGAGUUAAUUGGUGUGGAUGCUGAGCUUCGUCUGCACCACCCAGAGUUCUUCCAGAAGCUCUUCUGCUUGACACAGCAGCACCUGACAGUCCUGCAGAGCACAGGCCAAGGGCAACCCACCACUGAGAAUGACAACGGAAAGCCAUCAGGGAUGUCACUCCUCAAAGGACAACUCCUGUUGCUCCUCACAAGUCCUGAGAUGUCAGACAAGGGUUCCUCAGCACCAAGCCUUGCCUCCUCUGGAGCCACGCGAGCCCUUUGGGGUGUGAUUUCUGGGUCUCUGUUUCUUCAUAACCAGGUGACGGCGGUGCAGAAACGGGGUCUCUGCUUGCCAUGUUGGUGGGAGCUGUGGUGGAUCUCCAGCAGAGAAACCCCAGUGGAGGAAAGCAGCUCCUCAACAGCCAUCUGUCACCUAGCCAUGUGUGCACACUGCUUCAUGAGGAAGGCACAGCCACGGGCAGAUACUCGCUCAGCUUCUCCACCAUCUUCUGAAAGAAAGGGAACAGCACACAUGUGAAAACGGCCUGGAAAAAAAUGGUGUGGCUUCUGGAUGAGGAUUUAACAGAAGGCAAACUGGAGUAGUUAUGGAAAUGGGAAAAUGUUUAUAGGGUGGUCUGAAAUGAGGCCCUCAAAAAUGAUAGAAGAGACCUGCAGAUGUUUAUAUCACCAUAUGCUCGACCUCAUGAGUUCUGACAUUGUUUCUUGAUUACAUGUUCCCAUCCUGUCCCUCUACAAAACCUGUGACUGAGUGCAGCUGGGGCUGCCCUUGGGGGGGACGUGGAGGUGGAAGGUGACACGGCCACCUCCCCUCACCCCAAGAGCCAGGAAGAGGCAUGAGGAGCACGGCAGGGAUCUGCUGGAGGAGGGAACCAUCCAGGAAUCACACGGGAGAAUCACAGAAUCAUAGGAUUGUCUCAGUUGGAAGGGACCUUUCAGAUCAUGGAGUCCAACCAUCAACCCAACACUGACCAAACCACCCAUCGUCUGCCUGGAUUUUAAAUACCUCCAGGGUGCUGGGGGGCUCUCCCCACCCUGAGCUGGGGACGACAAAGGCAACUGGGAGGAAACCUUCUGCUCCUCCUGCUGGGACAGCCCGGUGCUGGGACAAAGCUGCCACCCAUUUCACUGGAAACACACAAAUUCAGCCCAUCUAAAAUUAUGACCUGCUGUUCCCCCAUCUCCUGCAGAGCCAGGAAAGAGAAGGGGACGCUGCCACAGGAACCUGUAGCCCCUGUAAAGCUGACUCAGCCACUGGCCAUUGGUUUCUGUCCAUUGAUUCCAUCUGUACCCAUCAACAUCAUCCCAUGUUGGUGGUGGCCAUGGCCCCAAGCCCACCCCGCUGCUCUUCGUUGGUGUGUGAUCAUUGUGGGCAACCACCUUUGGCUUCACUGCUGGAAAAAAGAAAAGGAAAACCCCAUGGUUUUGGACACAGAGGGUGUCUUCAACUGGUUCUUCUGUUUCCUGGUGUCAUCACCCAGAGGUGCAGCCAUGGAAAGGUCUGACGGGUGCCAGCCCAGGGUGUGCCUUCACCCCCUGCCACCCACCCUCGGCCUCCUCAGCAUGGAGGCAAGAGGAGCCUGAUGAGGAAAACUGCAAUACCUGAAUUAAUCACUCAGAUCAUUUUUCUGAACUGGCUGGGGACUGAUUUGGGGUGGCUUCAAUCAGGCAUGAAGAGCUGAGGGGGUGAGUGUGGGGUGGGCACAGCCCCCCAGCAGCUGCUGGACCCCCCGGAACCCUUCUGCCUUCUGCCUCUGGCCACAGCUGGAAGCAAAACUGGCUCUUCCAUGAGGAGGGGACCCCGUUUGGGCUGGGUUCACUCACUUGGGGUCCUGCCCCUCGCCCUGGCUGGUGGCAGCAGCCUGGGGGACAUGGUGUCCCCCCUCCACGCACCCCUGUCCCCUGGGGAAGGGCAGCUUGGCCGGCAGCUGGGGGUGAUGCACAGCCAGAAGUGUCACCUGCUAUUUCAUGGCCACCACUGGGGUUAGCACUGGGAGCAGCUGGAGACACCAAAGGAGCUCUUUUGGUUGCCCCUCAGGGCUCCCCAAGGGCCACCAUCCCCUCUCUCCCCCCGAGCCCCCGUCUCAGCCCCGUUUCUCAGAACUGGGCUCGUCGUUCCAGCGCACGUCCUUCCACCCACACCACCCCAAUUGACACAUGUCAGCUUUUCCCAUCAGCAGCUUCGCUUCAGCAUUAUCAAUAGUUUGGGGGAAUGAUUUUUAUCUGCCUUUGGGGGAGGUGACACACGCUCUCCCCGCAGGGUUUGCCGAUGCGGGGUGUUCCCAGCCAAGGGGGUCCCACCACCCACAGCCCCCCCAUGGCCUCGUGUUCCCCCCGGGACCACCGUGCCAGGGCAUGGGAUCAGAGAAGCCUUCCCUGGGGCCAUGGUGCAUCCCACACCAGCAUCCUGCUCUGUCUGCUCGUCUCAAGGAACCCAAAGACUCCAGCUUUGGGACACACGGACACUGCCCCGGACACACACCCGCUCCUGCCCCUUCCUCCCAGUGCCUCCACUGGGAAAAUUCCAGGCUCCCGUCUGGCUCUGACCCAGCCUUUCCAUUUUGCAGAACAUUAAGUGAUGGGGAAUCAUCACCAUCUUUUUUUCUUUUUUUCCAGGAAAAC